rnacentral:rRNA from 1 species
GGGAGGCAGCAGGGGGGAAUAUUGGACAAUGGGCGCAAGCCUGAUCCAGCCAUGCCGUGUGUGUGAAGAAGGCCCUAGGGUUGUAAAGCACUUUCAGUGGGGAGGAAGGCCAUAAGGUUAAUAGCCUUGAGGAUUGACGUUACCUACAGAAGAAGCACCGGCUAACUCCGUGCCAGCAGCCGCGGUAAUACGGAGGGUGCGAGGGUUAAUAGGAAUUAUUGGGGGUAAAGCGCGCGUAGGCGGUUAGUUAAGCUGGAUGUGAAAGCCCCGGGCUCAACCUGGGAACUGCAUUCAGAACUGGCUGGUUAGAGUACGAGAGAGGGUAGUGGAAUAUCCUGAGUAGCGGUGAAAUGCGUAGAUAUA